UACGGAGGGCGCAAGCGUUGUUCGGAAUUACUGGGCGUAAAGCGCGUGUAGGCGGCCAGGUAAGUCGGAUGUGAAAGCCCGGGGCCCAACCCCGGAACUGCACCCGAUACUGCCCGGCCGGAGUCCCGGAGAGGAUGGCGGAAUUUCCGGUGUAGAGGUGAAAUUCGUAGAUAUCGGAAGGAACACCAGUGGCGAAGGAGGCCAUCUGGACGGUGAUUGACGUUGAGACGCGAAAGCGUGGGGAGCAAACAGG
rnacentral:rRNA from 1 species